rnacentral:rRNA from 1 species
AGCUUGCUGGUUAUGAAAGUGGCGCACGGGUGCGUAACGCGUAUGCAACCUACCUUAAUCAGGGGGAUAGCCCGAAGAAAUUCGGAUUAAGACCGCAUAAAAACACAGGAUAGCAUUAUCCAAUGUUCAAAUAUUUAUAGGAUUAAGAUGGGCAUGCGUGUCAUUAGCUAGUUGGCGGGGUAACGGCCCACCAAGGCGACGAUGACUAGGGGAUCUGAGAGGAUGACCCCCCACACUGGUACUGAGACACGGACCAGACUCCUACGGGAGGCAGCAGUAAGGAAUAUUGGUCAAUGGAGGGAACUCUGAACCAGCCAUGCCGCGUGCAGGAAGACAGCCCUCUGGGUCGUAAACUGCUUUUAUUCGGGAAUAAACCUAUCUACGUGUAGAUAGCUGAAUGUACCGAAGGAAUAAGGAUCGGCUAACUCCGUGCCAGCAGCCGCGGUAAUACGGAGGAUCCAAGCGUUAUCCGGAUUUAUUGGGUUUAAAGGGUGCGUAGGCGGCCAAUUAAGUCAGGGGUGAAAGACGGUAGCUCAACUAUCGCAGUGCCCUUGAUACUGAUUGGCUUGAAUGGACUAGAGGUAGGCGGAAUGUGACAAGUAGCGGUGAAAUGCAUAGAUAUGUCACAGAACACCGAUUGCGAAGGCAGCUUACUAUGGUCAUAUUGACGCUGAGGCACGAAAGCGUGGGGAUCAAACAGGAUUAGAUACCCUGGUAGUCCACGCCCUAAACGAUGAAUACUCGCUGUUAGCGAUAUACAGUUAGCGGCUAAGCGAAAGCGUUAAGUAUUCCACCUGGGGAGUACGGUC